AGAAAUCAAACCCAGGCGGACAAAACGAGUUGGGUAUAAACGGAGGUCGGAGCCCGCUGCAAAUGGGUGGGUAAGCAGCAAGUGGGUGGAGCUUUACCCGCAAGUGGGCUGUACAAACUUCCAGAGGAUUUUGAUUGGUUUAUUUAUAUCACCUGUAGCAGCUAUUGGUUUAUGCUCCUCAGUUGGUGGCGCUAAUGCGUAAGUUUUGUAGCGAUCGAUCAGAAAACAAAGAAGAAAACCGCUUUCACAUGUCAGCGUGUCGUUGAAAUGAAGGGAUUAUGGAUUCUGAAGACCAUAAUAAUAAGGACAAUGCAGGACAAAGGCUGUCAAAUAAAUGUGGAGUGUUUGUCUUGAUGGCAAUAUGCACUGUAUGUUAUUCUGGGACAGAAGUUUGACUUCACUGAAGUAAACAUGAAGAACAUAGGAAAAUGGUGGUGUGCCAUCUUGCUUGAAAAUUAAGUAAGUGUGAAAAAAUUAGCUGUACUUUUAACGUGGUGUUUCAAGAAACUCUUAAAGAAGUGAAGAAAUCUUGUUCAGUCUGUAAACUGUUUUGGGAAGACAUGGAACGGAAUGAUUUAGUGACUCGCUCAUAACACUAUUUCAGUAAAAAUAUAUUCUGCAGACCCUUUGAGUAAAAAGAAGUAGCAAAGUGUUUCAGUGAUGAUAAAAAUCAGCAGGUGUAAACACUACUUGCUCUAUCAAACUCCUUUAAUAGCUGUUCUUAAUACUAUUAGGGGUUGGCAAGAUUUUGAAAUGUUUUUAUAUUCAAAUGUUGUUGUAUUCAUUGGUGAAUAAUUUAAAAUUGGACCAUUAAUUAGAUUUUUUUCUAUGUUUACAAAAGUCUUUUCUGUAAUUUGUAAUCAAUGUAAUGCAUCCUUGCAUUUAAUUAAUUUUGAUAUUGAACUUGUUCUAUUUCUUACUUUAUUUGUUUUUGUUGCAUGAUAAUCAAAUUGUGCAAGACAUGGGAGAAAGAGAAAAUGAGCUGUUGUAGCUGGUAUUGUCAGCUUUUUAUAUUUUGCUGAUAUUUUUUGUCAAAUAAAAAAUUAAUGGAUAAUUUUAUCACGUUUUAAUUCUAAUUCUCUUUCAGAAGAAGAAGAAGAA